UGACGGAGGGGGCGAGCGUUAUUCGGAAUUAUUGGGCGUAAAGGGCGCGUAGGCGGCUGUACAAGUCAAAGGUGAAAUCCCUCGGCUCAACUGAGGAACUGCCUUUGAAACUGUACGGCUUGAGGCCGGGAGGGGGUAGCGGAAUUCCCAGUGUAGCGGUGAAAUGCGUAGAUACUGGGAGGAACACCAGUGGCGAAGGCGGCUACCGUGGACC
rnacentral:rRNA from 1 species